ACGGCUCAGUAACACGUGGACAACCUACCCUUAGGACGGGGAUAAACCCGGGAAACUGGGUAUAAUACCCGAUAGAUCUCGGCUGCUGGAAUGCAUCGAGAUCUAAAGCUCCGGCGCCUAAGGAUGGGUCUGCGGCCUAUCAGGUAGUAGUGGGUGUAGUGUACCUACUAGCCUACGACGGGUACGGGUUGUGAGAGCAAGAGCCCGGAGAUGGAUUCUGAGACACGAAUCCAGGCCCUACGGGGUGCAGCAGGCGCGAAAACUUUACAAUGCUGGCAACAGCGAUAAGGGGACCUCGAGUGCCAGGUUACAAAUCUGGCUGUCGUGAUGCCUAAAAAGCAUUGCAUAGCAAGGGCCGGGCAAGACCGGUGCCAGCCGCCGCGGUAACACCGGCGGCUCGAGUGGUAACCGUUAUUAUUGGGUCUAAAGGGUCUGUAGCCGGCCGGAUAAGUCUCUUGGGAAAUCUGGCAGCUUAACUGUCAGGCUUUCAGGAGAUACUGUCUGGCUCGAGGCCGGGAGAGGUGAGAGGUACUUCAGGGGUAGGGGUGAAAUCUUGUAAUCCUUGAAGGACCACCAGUGGCGAAGGCGUCUCACCAGAACGGACCUGACGGCAAGGGACGAAAGCUAGGGGCACGAACCGGAUUAGAUACCCGGGUAGUCCUAGCCGUAAACGAUACUCGCUAGGUGUCGGCCACGGUGCGACCGUUGUCGGUGCCGUAGGGAAGCCGUGAAGCGAGCCACCUGGGAAGUACGGCCGCAAGGCUGAAACUUAAAGGAAUUGGCGGGGGAG
rnacentral:rRNA from 1 species